rnacentral:tRNA from 1 species
GUUUGUGGCUCAGUGGUAGAACACUCACCUAGUAUGCAUGGGGCAUUGAGUUCAAUCCUCAGCACAACA